CUCUGGUUGGAGAUCCCUCUGUUGUGGAGUUUCCUUGUGAGUCUAGAUCUUCAGAGACAGCCCACCAGGCAGCAUCCCACCUGAGGACAGGAGCAGCAGCCAUGGAGGAGCAUUGGUGGCCAACCCAUAUUGCCAAGCGCAGCCUGGAGGGGCAAAUUUCAAGCUUCAGAGGAGCACUGGGCUGCUGUACUGCAAUCAUCUGUAAUCAGAUGAGGAACCAUGGUCCACAACAAAUGCUUCACCCCGCACUGAAACAUGGCAAUGCAGGACUAAAGAGAGAGUGAUGAAGCCGCUGCGUUUUGCCAGCAGAGCGAACCCAACAGCGCUGUCCCAGAAGGGCCACUGCUGCCUGCCAUGCUGCCCUGCAGGCCAGCUCCUCACCUGCCUUCCAUCAGAGCCCAUGACCCAGAGGCCCUAGUUAAGGAGGGGAAAAAAAUCUCUUUUCCGGUCCGUGAGAUCAAUUUUAAACACGCUGGAAUUAAAUGAAGACAUUUAAGCCCUGUUUCUACGCUGAAAUGCAUCCACCGACACCAGAAACUAUUUUUAUUACAGCCUACGUUAAAUAAUCAGAUCUUCAGUUUCAUGAGGAGCAGAACAGCAGUGCUAUUCAAUCCGCUGUGCUGGCAGUGACCCUCUUACAAAGCCAUCUUUGCACCAAGCCGCAGCAAAGCACUGAGGGCAGCUUUCCUAUCUAGUAAAAACAACACAGGAAAAGGUAAAUAAGUUUGAAGGGCACUUAUCUGAGAAAAGAAAGAGAAGACAGCUGCUUGCCGGUGCCAUGGCCAGCCCUGCAGCAAUAGAACAAGGCUACAUCUCCCUUAAAAGCAGCACCAAAAGCUUUCCAUACUUCAUCUCCAGCACAGCGGCUGCUCUGUGAAAUGAGGUUUCAUCCAAUGGCAGAGGAAUGGGAGCAGAUAUCUGGCUUCAACACAGCAAACUUGUUAUCUCAUCAAUAGCUGUCAUUGCCCAACUUGGCCCAGCUUGCUGUAAUGGAAGCUCUGCUCAUUGGGAAUCCCAGAGGUAGGGACUGGUCUGGGAUCAAUGCUCUCAGAAUCUCCAUUAACCAUUAUAAUGCUGGCAAUGUUUUAGUCAUCGAUGACCCUACGUGCACCAGUUGUGACACUCAGACAAACCUCCAUCAAUGCACGGAGUUCAUGUGGGUUUGCAGCAUCUGGAAAGGGCAGAAUCCAGACUUCAAACCUUCACCCCAAACCCACACAAUCAUCACAUCCAGCGUGGCAAGAAGGGAAAGCUAGCACUGAGCUCACAGGAUGGAUUUAGAGACAAAUGUGUGCAGGCAGCCAGCAAUUUGAGUGGUGUAAAGCCAAGCAGCCUUUCUAAUCGCUGUGCUUCCAUGCUUGCAGUCACAGCAUCUCCAAGCUGGAGGAGAUCCUCAGGGUCGCCGAGACCACCCUGUGCUGCCUUAGCACCAGCAGCUCAAUGCGAGCUGCUCACACGGCUCUUAUUAAAAGAUUCACUUCUGAUAAAAGCCGUUGAGAGAACCCACAACUCAAGCCAAUGUAUUUAUCACCGUGAAAUCGCUGUCAACGUGAUGUAACCGUGCUCAGCCUGCGAUCCACCAGGCUCUGCCCUCAAAACCGGCGCUGCUCCGAUGCUCCCGGGCCGUUUGCGUAGUGAGUAACCCCUGAGCUCCGCAGUCGGGAACCAACUUCCCGUUCCCUUCGCUCUGACGGCCGCCCGCCGGGAGGCCGUUCCCGCUGCAGGUGAGCGCCGGGCCGCGGGGCGGGAGG